rnacentral:tRNA from 1 species
GCCGUGAUCGUAUAGUGGUUAGAACUCUGCGUUGUGGUCGCAGUAACCCAGGUUCGAAUCGGGGUCACAGCA